rnacentral:rRNA from 1 species
UACGUAGGGGGCAAGCGUUGUCCGGAAUUAUUGGGCGUAAAGAGCGCGUAGGCGGUCCGAUAAGUCGGCUGUGAAAGUCCAGGGCUCAACCCUGGAAAGCCGGCCGAUACUGUCGGACUAGAGUCCGGAAGAGGCAAGUGGAAUUCCCGGUGUAGCGGUGAAAUGCGUAGAUAUCCGGAGGAACACCGGUGGCGAAGGCGGCUUCCUGGACCGACACUGACGCUGAGGCGCGAAAGCUAGGGGAGCAAACGGG